rnacentral:rRNA from 1 species
CGUGUAGGCGGUCAGGCAAGUGGAAUGUGAAAUGCCCCGGCUCACCCGGGGACCGGCAUCCCAAACUGCCUGGCUUGAGUAUGGGAGAGGAUGGAGGAAUUCCUGGUGUAGCGGUGAAAUGCGUAGAUAUCAGGAGGAACACCGGUGGCGAAGGCGUCCAUCUGGCCCAAUACUGACGCUGAGGCGCGAAAGCUAGGGGAGCAAACGG